GAUGAACGCUGGCGGCGUGCCUAAUACAUGCAAGUCGAGCGAACGGACGAGAAGCUUGCUUCUCUGAUGUUAGCGGCGGACGGGUGAGUAACACGUGGAUAACCUACCUAUAAGACUGGGAUAACUUCGGGAAACCGGAGCUAAUACCGGAUGAUAUUUUGAACCGCAUGGUUCAAAAGUGAAAGACGGUCUUGCUGUCACUUAUAGAUGGAUCCGCGCUGCAUUAGCUAGUUGGUAAGGUAACGGCUUACCAAGGCAACGAUGCAUAGCCGACCUGAGAGGGUGAUCGGCCACCCGGGAACUGAGACACGGUCCAGACUCCUACGGGAGGCAGGAGGGGGGAAUCUUCCGCAAGGGGCGAAAGCCUGACGGAGCAACGCCGGGGGAGUGAUGAAGGUCUUCGGAUCGUAAAACUCUGUUAUUGGGGAAGAAAAUUUGUGUAAGUAACUGUGCACCUCUUGACGGUACCUAAUAAAAAAGCCACGGCUAACUACGU
rnacentral:rRNA from 1 species